rnacentral:rRNA from 1 species
AUUGAACGCUGGCGGCAGGCUUAACACAUGCAAGUCGAGCGGAGAUGAGGUGCUUGCACCCUAUCUUAGCGGCGGACGGGUGAGUAAUGCUUAGGAAUCUGCCUAUUAGUGGGGGACAACAUUCCGAAAGGAAUGCUAAUACCGCAUACGCCCUACGGGGGAAAGCAGGGGAUCUUCGGACCUUGCGCUAAUAGAUGAGCCCAAGUCGGAUUAGCCAGUCGGUGGGGUAAAGGCCUACCAAGGCGACGAUCUGUAGCGGGUCUGAGAGGAUGAUCCGCCACACUGGGACUGAGACACGGCCCAGACUCCUACGGGAGGCAGCAGUGGGGAAUAUUGGACAAUGGGCGGAAGCCUGAUCCAGCCAUGCCGCGUGUGUGAAGAAGGCCUUUUGGUUGUAAAGCACUUUAAGCGAGGAGGAGGCUACCUGGAUUAAUACUCUAGGAUAGUGGACGUUAUUCGCAGAAUAAGCACCGGCUAACUCUGUGCCAGCAGCCGCCGUAAUAC